rnacentral:rRNA from 1 species
GACGAACGCUGGCGGCGCGCUUAACACAUGCAAGUCGAGCGAAGCGGCGGACGGGUGAGUAACACGUGAGUAACCUGCCUUAGACAUUGGGAUAGCCUCGGGAAACCGGGAUUAAUACCAAAUGGUCUAAGAUGGACUCGCGUCCCAUUAGAUAGUUGGUGAGGUAACGGCCCACCAAGGCGACGAUGGGUAGCCGGCCAGAGAGGGUGAACGGCCACAUUGGAGCUGAGAAACGGUCCAAACUCUACGGGAGGCAGCAGUGGGGAAUAUAGCACAAUGGAGGGGACUAUGAUGCAGCGACGCCGCGAGAACAAAGAAGGCUUUCAAGUCGUAAAGUUCUUUUAUAUGGAAAGCGGUACCAAAAGAAAAAGCCCCGGCUAACUACGUGCCAGCCGCCGCGGUAAUUC